GAAGCAUAUGCAUGCAUUACAUGCUUACCCAUUAAGCUCUCUCUCUCUCUCUCUCUCUCUCUCUCUCUAUAAAUACAGCUAGCUAGGUAAAACCAUUUACACGCAGAUAGAGCUCAAAUAUUUCAUUCAUCAAAUCUAGUACUGCACUGUUCAGAGAGAGAGAUCAGAGAGAGUGAAGGAUGCCGCCGGGUUGGGGACCGGGACCGGGAGGGCCGCCCAGUCCAUGCGGUUGCUUUGGCUUUCUCUGUGAUGGUAUUUCCCGCUGUUUUUAUUUCCUGUGCUGCUGCUGCAUCCUAGAGAGCUGCUGUGGGCCAUUCUUUGGUGGGCCUCCAGGCCCUCCUGGUGGGCCUGGUGGCCCUCCUGGCGGGCCCCCGCGCUUCUGAUCGGUCCAUUUCACUCCAUCUCCUCUACUUGGUGAAUGAGCAGAAUAAACAUUUUAAAAAAGGAGAAUGAUCGAUUUGUGAUCACUGUCCUAGUGUAGUACUGCAGAUCUAUUUCUUUUGCGUGUGUUGUAGAUUGUGCAGAGUUUGGGCUGGGAAUCUGGGCCAAGGCCCAUGGAAGUCACCUUGGGUACACCUAUCUUGGGCUUGAGUGGUGAUGGAAGAGUUAUGUGGGGGAGCUGGUGAAUAGUGAUUUGUGAUGGGCCUUGAAGCAAAAGUGGGCUUUUCUCGAUCUGCAGUGAUUUUGCCUUUUUUUUUUUUUUUUUUUAAUGUUUUCGUUUGGUAGCAUUAAUUAUUUGUAAUUGAAGUAUAGAGUCGCAGGUUACAGCAUGUUUCACUUUCACUUUGUAUGAGUCAAGGAAUUGAUGUAAAAUUUAUGGUUACUAGCUAGUAUAAUUUGCAUUCUAUUAGAA